GCUAGCGGCGGACGGGUGAGUAACACGUAGGUAACCUGCCUAUAAGAUCGGGAUAACUAUCGGAAACGAUAGCUAAGACCGGAUAAUUGGUUUUCUCGCAUGAGAGAAUUAUGAAACACGGAGCAAUCUGUGGCUUAUAGAUGGGCCUGCGGCGCAUUAGCUUGUUGGUGGGGUAACGGCCUACCAAGGCGACGAUGCGUAGCCGACCUGAGAGGGUGAACGGCCACACUGGGACUGAGACACGGCCCAGACUCCUACGGGAGGCAGCAGUAGGGAAUCUUCCGCAAUGGACGCAAGUCUGACGGAGCAACGCCGCGUGAGUGAUGAAGGUUUUCGGAUCGUAAAGCUCUGUUGCCCUAGACGAACAGCAAGGAGAGUAACUGCUCUUUGUGUGACGGUAUAGGAGAAGAAAGCCCCGGCUAACUACGUGCCAGCAGCCGCGGUAAUACGUAGGGGGCAAGCGUUGUCCGGAAUUAUUGGGCGUAAAGCGCGCGCAGGCGGUCAAUUAAGUUGGGUGUUUAAGCCCGGGGCUCAACCCCGGUUCGCAUCCAAAACUGGUUGACUUGAGUGUAGGAGAGGAAAGUGGAAUUCCACGUGUAGCGGUGAAAUGCGUAGAGAUGUGGAGGAAC
rnacentral:rRNA from 1 species